rnacentral:rRNA from 1 species
GAUGAACGCUGGCGGCGUGCCUAAUACAUGCAAGUCGAGCGAACAGACGAGGAGCUUGCUCCUCUGACGUUAGCGGCGGACGGGUGAGUAACACGUGGAUAACCUACCUAUAAGACUGGGAUAACUUCGGGAAACCGGAGCUAAUACCGGAUAAUAUAUUGAACCGCAUGGUUCAAUAGUGAAAGACGGUUUUGCUGUCACUUAUAGAUGGAUCCGCGCCGCAUUAGCUAGUUGGUAAGGUAACGGCUUACCAAGGCAACGAUGCGUAGCCGACCUGAGAGGGGGAUCGGCCACACGGGAACUGAGACACGGUCCAGACUCCUACGGGAGGCAGCAGUAGGGAAUCUUCCGCAAUGGGCGAAAGCCUGACGGAGCAACGCCGCGUGAGUGAUGAAGGUGUUCGGAUCGUAAUACUCUGUUAUUAGGGAAGAACAAAUGUGUAAGUAACUAUGCACGUCUUGACGGUACCUAAUCAGAAAGCCACGGCUAACUACGUG